GCGUUUCCUGCCCAAACCGUUCUUUGAAAACUUUAAGUCGGCAGUUAGAUUCUCACUUCCGAACUGCCACGUACUUCAGGCCAAAAGCAUCCCCCCGGUAGAUUUUUAAGUUCCUCGAGGACAGGAACCAUGCCGGAACUGCGCGCGGAUCGGCUUUCCAAAUCCCCGGCGCCUGGCUCGAGUACUUCCAAACCUUAGGAGCGGUUUGGAUCCGGCGGGGUCUCCGCUCCUCUCCACCGCGGCGGAGCGGGCCGGAGCUCCCUCUGCCCGCCCCGGCCGAGGGCCGGGUGAGGAUUUGAAAACCCGCCAUGUGAAUGCAUGAUGUCAUCGGUUCCCCCCCGCCCCGGCCCCCCCAACGCACACACACACCCGGCCCCAGCUCCGCUUCUCAAGCCCCAGACCACCCACACAGCCCGGCUUUUCUCUCUCCAGAGUUAGCCAUGGAGAAACCUGCUUUAACAAAUGAUUGGAGGGUGCAAUAGAGCACUUUGAAUCGAUACACAAUGGUGCAUUUGGAGGUGGAUCUCUCUCGUCGGAAAUUCCGUCCGCCACAAAGUCCUCGGACCGAGCGCCGGGCAGGAUACCGCGCUGCCGACGGGGGACGUAUCUGGGGGGGUUGGAAUAUGAAGACAAUAAGUCCUGAGCCAUUAA